UAUGUGAUCGUCUCUCGCAUAUCAAUAAGCGGAGGAAAAGAAACUAACAAGGAUUCCCCUAGUAACGGCGAGUGAAGCGGGAAGAGCUCAAAUUUGAAAUCUUAAAGGGUUUCCCUUUACGAAUUGUAGUUUAAAGAAGUGUUUUCUGUUGAGGUUUUGGUAAAAGUUCUUUGGAAUAGGACAUCAUAGAGGGUGAGAAUCCCGUAUUUGACCUUUACUUUCAACUUUGUGAUACACUUUCAAAGAGUCGGAUUGUUUGGGAAUGCAGUCCAAAAUGGGUGGUAAAUUUCAUCUAAAGCUAAAUAUUGGCGAGAGACCGAUAGCGAACAAGUACCGUGAGGGAAAGAUGAAAAGAACUUUGAAAAGAGAGUUAAACAGUACGUGAAAUUGUCAAAAGGGAAGCGUUUGACACCAGUGUUGUUUUUCUGAAAAUCAAUUAAAGAACUGUUUAUGCUAAGUUGUUUAGACUUUAUCAGCUAAUCUGUUUAGUUUUGAGCUUUUCUUUAAUGCACUUUUCAGUUAACAAGUCAACAUCAAUUUCUUUUGCUGUAAAAAAGCUUGAGGAAGGUGGCUUGAGAUUCGUCUUAAGUGUUUAUAGCCUCUUGCCUAUGCAGUCGGAGAGAUUGAGGUCUGCAGCGUAGAUCCUUCGGGGCUAAAUGCAUUUGUGCUAAGUUAUAGCAUUUUAUAGACAACCUGUUGACUAUGAUUUGUCUUGUAGCUUACUCGCUUAUGUUAUUUUACCUACGCUUAGGAUGUUGAUCUGUAGUGCGUGCGC
rnacentral:rRNA from 1 species